GCCCCGGGAGCUGGAGCCGAAGCGGGAUUCAGAGUGCCGGCCGGCGGUGAGGCCGGGGCAGCAGCUGGCGGCCGGGGUCAGGGCAAGAACCUGGACUGAGGCGGCGGGCGCUGCGUCCCUGCGAGAUGGACGGGACAGAAGGCAAUGCUGGGCAACCCGGCCCCGCUGAUCGGUCCCAUCGAAGCAGCGUGUCCUCCGUGGGAGCCCGAGCGGCCGACGUGCUGGUGUACCUGGCGGAUGACACCAUGGUGCCCCUGGCCGUGGAGAACCUGCCCUCGCUCACUGCCCACGAGCUGCAUCAGGCCGUCCGUGAGGUCCUGCAGCUCCCAGAUGUUGCCCUGGAUGCCUUUGCGCUCUGGCUUGUCUCCCCUCUGCUGGAGGUGCAGCUGAAGCCCAAGCACCAGCCCUACAAGCUGGGCCGCCAGUGGCAGGAACUGCUGCUGCGAUUCACCGACGCUCCGGACGAUGACGUGGCCAUGGAUGAGCCUUCCCUGCAGUUCCGGAGGAACGUGUUCUUCCCCAAACGGCGGGAGCUCCAGAUCCACGACAAGGAGGUCCUGCGGCUGCUCUACGAGGAGGCCAAGGGCAACGUGCUGGCCGCUCGGUACCCAUGCGACGUGGAGGACUGCGAGGCCCUGGGCGCCCUGGUGUGCCGCGUGCAGCUCGGGCCCUACCAGCCUGGCCAGCCCACGGCCUGUGCCCUGAGGGAGAAGCUGGACUCCUUCCUCCCUGCCCACCUCUGUAAGCGGGGCCACGGGCUCUUCGCUGCCCUCCGGGGCCGUGGGACCAAGGCUGGAACCGGCGAGCAGGGCCUGCUGAACGCCUACCGCAGGGUGAAGGAGGUGGCCGGCAGCGAGAGCCAGCACGAGGCCUCCCUCAGCCCCCACUACCGCGCCUACCUCCUCAAGUGCCACCAGCUGCCCUUCUACGGGUCUGCCUUCUUCCAUGGCGAGAUUGACAAGCCAGCCCAGGGCUUUUUGCACCGGGGCGGGCAAAAGCCAGUGUUUGUGGCCAUCAGUCUGGAGGGCGUGCACGUCAUUGACAGCAGGGAGAAGCACGUCCUGCUGGGCCUGCGCUUCCAGGAGCUGUCGUGGGACCACACCUCUGCCGAGGAGGAGGAGUCUGUCCUGUGGCUGGAGUUCGACGGGGACAAUGAGGGCACACCGGUCAACAAGCUCCUCAAGAUCUACUCCAAGCAGGCCGAACUGAUGAGCAGCCUCAUCGAGUACUGCAUCGAGUUGAGCCAGGCCGCGGAGCCUGCCGCCCCCCAGGAGAGCGCGGCCGACCCCGCCGCGGCCCCUGGCUCCUCGCCACCGCCCACGCAACACCCCCAGCUGCGGAGGCAGGGCAGCGUGGUGUGCAGCCGGAUCCAGCAUCUCUCCACCAUCGACUACGUGGAGGAGGCUUAUGGGAUCUUGGUUUCCUGACCAUGGAUUGAACCCGUCCCCCGUUCUGUGGAAGUACAGAGUCCUAACCACUGGACCGCCAGGGAAGUCCCUCACCCCUCUUCUCCUGUCUCCUGGGUCCUUUCUCGGGCUGAUGUGUGUUCGGAAACAACAGAGCUGAGCUAGCUUCAGAACAAGAAUGGGAGGUGACCAUGGCUGUGAGAAAAGGCUUGGAGCCUGGGUCCUGACCCUGAAAUCUGGAUGUUGCCCAAGAGGUCCUUCCUCUCCUCCUCCCCACUCCAACCCUGAGCCCUUUAGUGGGCUGCCCAGGAAGGAGCAGGCUUCCGCCACCCACCAGGGUGGGGUAGACCUAUCACCACCCAGCCCCACCCAGGGAACCAAGGUCCUCUUGUUUACUGCUGUUUACUGGAACAGCUUGUCUUGAUCUAGAAAAAUCUGCUGACGCACUGGCUGCCCUGCCCUUCCCCUCUGUCAGGGUGGAAGUAUUUUUAGCCCCAUUUGCAGAGAAAGAGGCAGAACCCAAGCCCCACAUUUAUCCACCUUACUCACAGGCUCCAGACGUGCAGGCUCAGCGGCCAUGGCUCACGGGCCCAGCCGCUCCGCGGCACGUGGGAUCUUCCCGGAGCGGGGCACAAAACCGUAUCCCCUGCAUCGGCAGGCGGACUCUCAACCACGGCGCCACCAGGGAAGCCCCUCAUCAAGUAUUCUUACCCAGCAGGGAUAACUUUUCUGAGGAAAUACUUCAAGCCUCCAAGCCCCUGGUAACAGAGAAUAACAAAGCCACAACACACGCCCCUCAAGCUACCAAGCAGCAACGCGGUGGCUUAACUUUUUAAAAUUUAUUUUUGGAUGCGCUGGGUCUCGGUUGCUGCACACGGGCUUUCUCUAGUUGCGGCGAGCGGGGGCUACUCUGCUGCGGUGCGCAGGCUUCUCAUUAAGGUGGCUUCUCUUGUUGCAGAACAUAGGCCCUAGGUGCGCGGGCUUCAGUAGUUGUGGCACGUGGGCUCAGCAGUUGUGGCGCACGGGCUCUAGAGAGCAGGCUCAGUAGUUGUGGCACACGGGCUUAGUUGCUCCGCGGCAUGUGGGAUCUUCCAGGACCAGGGAUCAAACCCGUGUCCCCUGCAUUGGCAGCCGGAUUCUUAACCACUGCGCCACCAGGGAAGCCUGGGGCUUAACUUUUAAAUGAACUUUUAAAAUUAAAAAUCACAGCACGGUUUCUUAACCAGAGACACUAAGCUCAGCUACGGGUGCGGCUACCCGUAGGAGUGUGCCUGGAUCCAGCUUCGCGGAGCUCAGGCCGCCCCACCCCCACUCCCCACCGCAACCGGCGCGCCCGCCUCAGCACUGACAUCACAGGCGCUCACGAGGCCCAGCCGACGCCCGAGGAGUCACGCGCCUCCGCCCCACCCCCACCCCGCCGCGGCGAGUGAUGCGCCCUCUGCAGAAAUCCCUCCGCCGCCACCUGGAAUUUUCCAGACGCUCUGCCGGCCCUUCUUCCGGGCUUCUUCUGGGCGGGGUGACCUGAGGCGAUCCCAGAAGUUCCUUUCGACUCGAGAGAGCAGCCCCAGCCCGCCUCCGCUAUCUAGCCCCCCCUCUCCAGGACCCGGAUGCCUCCCCACCCCUGGCACCAUCACCGGCCGAAAAGAGGACUUACUCCCCUCUCCCUGUUGGAAUCCGCCUCCCCAAGUGACCUUGAGAUCUGUCGUCGAUCUCAGGAAGCACUUGCUAAGGAGAGUGGGGGAUCAUUGGGGAAUCUGAGAAAGUGGACACCCCGGAAGGGCGGGAGCCGCCCCGAAUCGUCUCCUUGGCCAGGGUAGGGGAGGAACUUUUUUCCGGUGGCAGUGGAGGAGUCGUCCCGUUGAGCAAUGCCCCGGACAGAGGGUUGUGAACCCGCCUGGGGAUGAGGCCUGGUGUUGUGGAAACUGAACUUAGCUUCGCGGGGCUGACAGUUCUGGCCCAGGGCGGUAUGUAAUUCUGGCUCGGCCUGGGACAGGGUCCAGCCAGGCCCAGCUGGGUGGAACCCAGGUCUGGGUGUGAGGGUGGUCUAGGGAGUGAUGGAGGUCAGUUGCCAUCUUGAGCGGUUACUGGUAUGGCGCCUCGUGUAUCUGACAGGCGGGAGCUGUAGGCAGACAAAAUUGACGCCCCCUUUAUUUUCCAGGUGGCAGUGCACCCCUUUGGACUUUUCCUCUAGGUUCCGUGCUUACCUCUUCUGUGACCUCACUCUGCCCCUCCUCCUCCCUCUAACUCUCUCGACGUUACCCCUUCACUUAAAACGUUGCUUCUGGUAAUCUGUGUUCAUCAUGGCAAGCUGAUGGCACCAGGAGAAAUGGAGCCCCUGGCCAGUGUGAGUCGUAGCAGUGCAGGAGGGGAGACCCUGGAGGAGGAGAGAGCCCGCCUAAAUUGAUGUCUACAGUUGAAUUUCCAGAGGCUUAGGAGGAGGAGUUCUCCAAUGUCCUGUUUCCAGGCCUUGCUCAGGAAGCCCUGUAUUCAUUCAGGAGACCAUCCUUUAAGGUUUUCAGAUGAGCUUAUGAGGGGGCAAUCUUUAAAAGUGCAAAGCAGAUGCAUCCGGGGCCUUCAGCAGAUGUGUUGCUCUGAGUGUGUAAUCCGGGAGCAGCGAUCUCUGGGCACGUGAAUGUCAGCAGGCACCUCUCCCGUUCUGGGGUGGAGGUUUUCAGAUGCUGCAUCUUCUAAAUUCAGCCUCCUGUUGUACUAGUUCUGUGCUACGAACCUUGCUUCCAGAGGACUCUUAAGCUGUAGAACGUUUUAACGCGAUGCCACAACACAGAAUGCUGCCUUGUAGAUGGAGCUUGCAGAUGGAUCCCAGGGACCCUCUCAUCUACCUGCCUGCCUUCCUGUGCAUUGGUCGGAGGAAUUCUUAGUGUGAUGAUACAAUCUGUGUGUUGGGAAAGUGUUCAAGAUUGAAAUGCUUUAGGCAAAUACUUAAAUGAGCCAACUGGCAAGUUGAGGGGGGUCAUUGUACUGUGCUGGAGGUACGAGUUGGUCAUGCCCAAAUUGUGAUAGAAAUGGCAGGUCUAGUUUGGGCAUUCCUACUAAGAAGGGAGUGGUUAGGGUACCGAUAGUGAUCUUUGAUUCAUCUUGCUCUAUGUGUUUUUUAACUUCAAUUGUACUUGAUCAGAUUUCAGAGUAAUCUUAGUGUUCAAAUGGGAGGACCCUGAGGUGAGGUGUGGUGGGGAGGGAAAAGCCUGCCGCAGGUGCUGGGAGGGGUGGGCGCGAAGAAAGGGAGAAGGGGAGAGGGUUGUGGUUAGGUGUGGGUUGUAGAGGAUGGGAGUGGUAGGGAAUGUGGGUUGAAGGGAAUUCUCUGGAGAAAAGAUCAGUGGGCAGAGCUCAUGGGCGAAGAAAAUACUAGUUAAUAGUGAAUUGUUAAUGCUAGUUAAAUUAUCGCUUGGAAGCACAAAAAAAAGUUGCUCGGAAAUUUUCUCAAAUGCUUAGAACUCUGCUAAUUGCAGGGGAAAAAGCAAAAUUGUUUUGCUUUGCUGCAAGCUGGGGAAGACUGAAAAGGUAACUGAAGACCUGGUUAUCGGUGGCUUGAAAGACUGGUGUCAGCAACUCGCAUCAGCAGGUUAACAUCCUUCACUGCUUUCAAGCUUCUUACGUGGUUUAUCUGGAGAUGUGUGGUAUUUGGGAGAGGUCUUCGAAAAGACUUUGAAUACCCAUAUUGUGGGCUUUUAAAGUACGCUUGAGAUUUUGGAGCGCACUCAAGAUGGUGAGAUGUACUCUGCUGGGUUUGCAACAUUUUGUUUCACCGAGGUUUUGCAGUUGAAAACUUGAGCAAAGUGAAAAUGCAAUGAUUUCUAAAGGAAUUUUGGGUUACUUCCUGCCUUCUAAGCACAUCUCUUCUUUGUAAUGAGUACUAGAAACAGCAAGAGUUUUUACUUUUCGUCGUCACUGUAACAAGGAGAACCUAAUGACUUUUUGUGAUCACUGUAAAAUUACUGUAAUAUUUGGUAGCAAACAAUCCAUGUAGGCUUACUAAGGUUACAGUUAGUAAUCCACUGUAUCUUUAGUUUGAAUGUUUGUGGUUUUUUAAGUGAUAACCGUACUAGAGGGGAAACUGUCAGCCAAAAUCAGUUUGGGAAAUAAGCAAAACUGGGGAUGGGGAGGUGCUUUAUUACUAGAUUAUGGUCUGUUUGUGAAAAUUCAGUGAAAGAUCUGAAUCCUCUGUGAUAAAGUAAUACCAGUGGCUUUUUUAUCAUGUCCCUCUUCCCACUGAAUUUCACUUUGAAAAAUUUAAAUCCCCAAUAUUUAUACACUUGGGAUCUUUAUAGGUUCUCUUUUUAAUGUUUAAAAAUACGUUGACAUGAUAGUUCAGCUCUUAACCCGGGAUUUGGGCGUGAUACAGUAACUGUCAUUGCAAUUUAAAGAAUACUAGUCAUGCAUGUGUGGGGGAGUGUGUUCCGGUAAGCUGUUGUGAAACUGAAACUGUAAAAGUAGGAGGAAAAAGUACUUUUAUGUUGCUCUGUAUGGGAAGAACCAGUCUUGUUACACCGUGUAUGUGACUGCUAAUCAUUUUUCUUCCCCUUUACAGCGUGAAUAAAGGUUUGAGUUCUAAACUCA